UCCCCUGUCAUACAUUUAAGUUAAUACCUAAUGUCAUACACUAAAGGUCCUUGCCCUCGUUGGUCCCCUGUCAUACAUUUAAGUUAAUACCUAAUGUCAUACACUAAAGGUCCUUGCCCUCGUUGGUCCCCUGUCAUACAUUUAAGUUAAUACCUAAUGUCAUACACUAAAGGUCCUUGCCCUCGU